rnacentral:rRNA from 1 species
GUCAGAUGUGAAAUCUCAGGGCUCAACUCUGAAAUUGCAUCCGAUACUGCCGUGCUUGAGGACUGGAGAGGAGUCUGGAAUUCAUGGUGGAGCAGUGAAAUGCGUAGAUAUCAUGAGGAACGCUAGUGGCGUAGGCGAGACUCUGGACAGUUCCUGACGCUGAGGCACGAAGGCCAGGGGAGCAAACGGG